UUCAUCAAAUUGAAUGCAGUAGAUUACCCGUCAUAUUCCGGAGUAUUACUAUGAUAUAAAUUAUUAAAACAACA
rnacentral:ribozyme from 1 species